UACGUAGGGGGCUAGCGUUGUCCGGAAUCAUUGGGCGUAAAGCGCGUGUAGGCGGUCCGGUAAGUCCGCUGUGAAAGUCGGAGGCUCAACCCUCGGAUGCCGGUGGAUACUGUCGGGCUUGAGUACGGAAGAGGCGAGUGGAAUUCCUGGUGUAGCGGUGAAAUGCGCAGAUAUCAGGAGGAACACCAAUUGCGAAGGCAGCUCGCUGGGACGUUACUGACGCUGAGGCGCGAAAGCGUGGGGAGCGAACAGG
rnacentral:rRNA from 1 species